rnacentral:rRNA from 1 species
GGUUCCUCGGGAUGUUUGAUUGUGGAAUUUGGCCUGCCCAAUGAUUUAUUUAAUGGCCGCGGUAUUUUGACCGUGCAAAGGUAGCAUAAUCAUUAGUCUUUUAAUUGGGGUCUGGGAUGAAGGGUCGGACGAGGAAGAUACUGUCUCAUGGCCAUGUUCUGAAAUUUUAGUUUUAGGUGAAAAAGCUUAAAUGUUCUUGGAAGACGAUAAGACCCUGUAGAUCUUUAUAUCGUUUUGGCUAUAAAGGUGAUAUAGGAAGCCUAGGCGGUAUUUUGUUGGGGUGACGGGGAGGUAUAAGCAACCCUCUUUAGAUUUUGUUAUUUAUAGGUAUGUUGUUGAUCCAUAGGUUGUGAUUAUAAGAUUAAGUUACCUCAGGGAUAACAGCGUAAUUUUUCUAGAGAGUUCAUAUCGACAGGAGAGUUUGCGACCUCGAUGUUGGAUUAAGGUUCCCUUCAGGCGGAGAAGUUUGUUGGGGUGGUCUGUUCGACCUUUAAUUCUUUACA